CCCUUAGAUGUUCUGGGCCGCACGCGCGCUACACUGAUGCAUUCAACGAGUGUACCUUGGCCGAGAGGCCUGGGCAAUCUUUUGAACGUGCAUCGUGAUAGGGAUAGAUUAUUGCAAUUAUUAAUCUUGAACGAGGAAUUCCUAGUAAACGCAGAUCAUCAAUCUGCAUUGAUUACGUCCCUGCCCUUUGUACACACCGCCCGUCGCGCCUACCGAUUGGAUGGUCCGGUGAAGCCUCGGGAUUGUGGCGGUUGCCUUUAUUGGUGGCCGCCGCGAGAACUUGUCUAAACCUUAUCAUCUAGAGGAAGGUGAAGUCGUAACA
rnacentral:rRNA from 1 species